GAUGCCAUCCCGGGUGCAGACGAAGCAGCCGGGCUCAGGCCUACCCAGCAGAGCAGGCUCUGUGCAAAUCCGCAGAGGUGGAAGAUAGCAUUUGAGCAGAACUGCAGAGCCAGAGACCAAGCACCAGGUCUCACUACGCACCAAGAAGGUGACAUCCCAACAGGAAGGCCAGCUGCACCUUAGUCCUGGGCAAACUGGGAUCUCGGCUCCCCUGACCCCAGGAGAGACUGAAGGAGAAAUCCAGGCAGACGAAGCCACAUUGGAGGGGAAGGAGACCACUCUUGCUGAGGAGAGUGGCGUCAUGGAGCAAGGGAAGCUGGCUGGCUGGAGAGCUGCCAUCUGAGGAGGCCGUGGAUCCAGAGAGCAGAUGUCCACCUGGAUGCGUCCAUGCCUAACCCGCCUGUGUCUUCCCGAGGCUGAAUGGGGCGUCCUUCUUCCAUG
rnacentral:lncRNA from 1 species